rnacentral:rRNA from 1 species
AGGACGAACGCUGGCGGCGUGCUUAACACAUGCAAGUCGAACGGUGAAGCUCCAGCUUGCUGGGGUGGAUGAGUGGCGAACGGGUGAGUAACACGUGAGUAACCUGCCCCCUUCUUCUGGAUAACUGCUUGAAAGGGUAGCUAAUACGGGAUAUUCUGGCCUGCUCGCAUGGGUGGGUUUGGAAAGGUUUUUUCUGGUGGGGGAUGGGCUCGCGGCCUAUCAGCUUGUUGGUGGGGUGAUGGCCUACCAAGGCGGUGACGGGUAGCCGGCCUGAGAGGGUGGACGGCCACACUGGGACUGAGACACGGCCCAGACUCCUACGGGAGGCAGCAGUGGGGAAUAUUGCACAAUGGGCGCAAGCCUGAUGCAGCGACGCCGCGUGAGGGAUGGAGGCCUUCGGGUUGUAAACCUCUUUCGCCAGUGAAGCAGGCCAUCUUC